UACGAAGGGGGCUAGCGUUGUUCGGAAUUACUGGGCGUAAAGCGUGCGCAGGCGGCUUCUCAAGUCAGGGGUGAAAGCCCAGAGCUCAACUCUGGAACUGCCUUUGAGACUGAGUGGCUUGAGUACGAGAGAGGUGAGUGGAAUUCCCAGUGUAGAGGUGAAAUUCGUAGAUAUUGGGAAGAACACCGGUGGCGAAGGCGGCUCACUGGCUCGUAACUGACGCUCAUGCACGACAGCGUGGGGAGCGAACAGG
rnacentral:rRNA from 1 species